UUAGAUAGGACCCCCAGAUCAUGUUACCUGGGCACUUACAAAACAGGAUCCAGGGUCCCACCCCAGCAUUUCUGGCCUAUAGCAGCUGCCUCGACAGAACCCAGGUCUAGGCUCCUGAUGCAUACUCCAGAAGACCCACGAACCAGCCCCCAGCAUUAGCUGCCCAAGGCCCAGGGUCCAGUUCCCUAGCAAUGACCCAGAAGAGCCCAGGGCCCAGCCCCGAGCACUUGCUCAGGCCUACCGGGCAGCCCUUGGGAACCAGGAUCAGACUUUUCUCCUUAAUUGAUAGGACCCAGGGUCCUGCCACUCAGCACUAAAUGCCCCUGCAGACCCCAGGGGUCUAGCCCAGCCCUCUUCCAGGGCGUGAGUAUCGUCGGUUACUGAGGUGCUGUCUCCUCCCCAGGAUCCUGAUUGUGGAUUGGGAUGUCCACCACGGUAAUGGAACUCAGCACAUGUUUGAGGAUGACCCCAGUGUGCUAUAUGUGUCCCUGCACCGCUAUGAUCAUGGCACCUUCUUCCCCAUGGGGGAUGAGGGUGCC
rnacentral:sRNA from 1 species